GAGCAACCAGGAGCUAAUCCUGUACACAGCAAUGUUACAGAGUCCACAGAAGAAGAAGAAUGAAGCUACCAAGGUGGUAACUCUUCAAAAAUUAGAAGAAGCUUUUCAAAAUGAGAAUCAUGAGAACGAGAAGAACAAUGGAGCCUUUUCACGUGUGUGACAAUCAUUCUCAUUUAUGUGCUUGACACAUUGCAACUGGAUAUUUAUUCUUAUGAAGUAGACUUUAAUGUCAUUGAAACUCUAAUACAACAAGGAAGAACCACCUGAUAAUACCAAGAUUGGGCUAAUCACUGUCAUUACACAGUGUGUAUGCAGCACACAGAGACUCUCUGUACACUCCGUUGAGGGAUUAGACGGAAUAUGCCUUGAUAAAACAGAGCAGCAGCACAAGGAGAUGCCUGAGCUGGCUCGAAACAAGAUGAGGACAAAUAACGUACUAAUGCAGUGAGACAACUUUAAAUAAGCAGCUCCUUUAUAAGUAAAUGGGAGAGCUCAACACAGAGCUGCAUGAUGUCAUGCAGACACGCUUUACUAACAGACAAAAUUAGCAGUGGGUGCAAAGUACCUAAUGCACCACUUCUCAAGCUUUUUGACGUUUCCCUGCUUUUCAGCCUGGAGUACAUUCCAGUGCUUCACAUACCACCUAGCUGGUGGUUUUCACCCUGAG
ensembl:lncRNA